AUGAUCAUUUGUGCUUACAAGGAAGGUGCUAAGAUAUUGAUUGAAGGCUCUGAGGUAGAAGCAGGGAUUGUCUUUUGAUUUGACUUUUUCAUUGCAGGAACACAAGUGUCAGUAUGACAUCAAUUUAAUUUAAUUUUCUCAUCUAGACCACAAUUUCCUGUAGUCCUGAGCUUUUCUUUUGUAAAUAUUUUUAUUCUCUUCAAAGCCUAUCAUUAUGCUUCAGUAAGCAGUCAAUUAAUGUUUAUUGCUUUGCUGAUGAUGCAAUAACAGAAAAAGAACUGGAAACUUAAUCAACUGUUUGAUCUUAAGAAAACAGGAAGUUCAGAAAUCUCCCUUCCUCUGGCUCACUGGCCAUUCUUCAGGGACAGGGAGACCCACAUCUGCACUGCAUUUCCGAGUUCCACUUUCAGGAGGGCAGGCAAAUGCAGACAGGAACAGUGGCCUCAGAGUGAGACUCCUGGACUCAGGACCAGAUUCACAUGGGGAUGUGAGAAGCUACUUGAGGUUCUGUACGUCCUGCGAUGGAGGGGGUGGGGGGAGGCACAGGUGAGGAGAGCAGGGCGAGGCAGAGGGGCAGCACUGAGCCUGAGGCAGCGCUGGCGGGCAGCCUGCUGUCAGGAGCAUAAGUCCAAGGCAAGACUGGACUCGGGAAGAGCAGGGGUGAAACGGGGGCCCUGGGUAAAGAGAGUUGCGGCCGUGUGCUCGUGCUCGCUAGGACACCUCUCUGUCUGCAGCAGAACAUGAGCUACAGGAAAAAUGCCUCCAGCUCACCUGUUGCCCUCUCAGAAAAAAUGUAAAGUUUAGUGGUGCUCUGAGGGUGCCUGAGGCUGCUGGUGCAGCAAGCGCUCUUUCUUUAAUUCAGCCUUUCUGCAAAUGUGUUCACCUCCCUGUAUUUCUGGUCUACAGAGGAGCUUCGGGAACGUCAGGCCCGCCCAGCCAGAGCUCCCCUCCUCUAUCCUGGCCUCCUCUCCCGCCCUCGGCAGUGAGGGACCCAGGGAGAACCUUCGAGGCAGUGGCCGAGCCCCUUGUUACCUCUUCUCACUUCCUGUGGCCCCUCUGCCGAGGACCAGCUUCUGCCCUCGGAGCUGCUGGCCUGGAUCUUAACUUAUACAGUGGUAUCCAGAACUUGGUUCCUCGAAUCAUUAAAGCAGAAUCAGGAGCCCAGACUAAGUUCCAACAGGCAGACAGCAGAGCAGUAAUUAGCAGUUCACUACCGGAUGCAUCCUGUGGGCUCUGCAAGGGGAAGGAAGCCUGCGGAUGA
rnacentral:lncRNA from 1 species